rnacentral:snRNA from 1 species
UCAAUUAUUUUAAGGGCU